AUUGCGCUCCGCCCGCCGAGGGGAGCGGCCUGCUAGCGGAAGUCCCGCGCCGCUGUCCCGAGGCGUCGCACUCGCCUUCCUCCGCGGCCCGGGGAGGGGCCGGGCAGGGCAGGGUUCGCGCGAGGGGCGGCCGCGUAGGCUCCAGCACGGAACUACAGCCCCCAGAGUGCACUGCGCCGCAGGGGGCGCGAUGCGGUGACGCACGGGGUUGUGGACGCUACCAUUUCUUUGUUGGUGGGGGAGGCCGUGGCGCGGGCUGAUGACGCGCUCUAAUGACGCGCUCUUCGCGCGCGGGAGGGUCCUCGGAGGUCAGCCCGGGUAGCCGGGCUCGGGUUCUCCACGCGUUUUCGCGAACCUUCGCGUCUGCUUGCCCCCGGCGGUCGUGCCAGCCUUGACCUUCGGCCCGGCCGGAGGCGGGCGUCGCUGUUCCUUUCACUUGAAACGAUUAACCUGAACCCCGAGCCCGCGCCGCACAGCGCCCGUGCGCCUCUGAGCAGGCCCCCCCUGGCGUUUUGCUCCCGGCCUUCUUGCUCGCUCUCUUCUCUGUACACUUUGACCCCGUGUCCUUUGAGAGGUCCUUGACCCCUAAAUGCGUCAGUGUGUAUUUUUGAAGAACGUAAGAAGCAAACCAGAAGUCCCAUCUGUGGAAGUCAGGAGUUGCCGUGGGUCGGGACCCUUGCCGAAACUUCGGUGGGGCCUUGCGGUUUCCUCGUCGUUAGACCGUGCCACUGGCGGGAAGGCCAGAGGCGUCACCUCCCGGCGCCAUGGUCCACGCCUUCCUCGUCCACACCCUGCGGGCCCCGCACGCUGAGGACACGGGCUUCUGCCGCGUGCUCUACUCCUGCGUCUUUGGUGCUGAGAAGUCGCCGGAAGACCCGCGGCCACAUGGAGCCGAGAGGGACAGGCUCCUCCGCAAGGAGCAGAUCUUGGCGGUGGCCAGGUAACCGUCCAGCCCAGCCCCGGGCCAUGGUAGGCUUCCCGAGGGGUCCUGGAGGCAGUUCGUAAACAUUAUCUGAGAAAGGUUGAGGAAAUAGGGCCCCUAGAGUUAGCUUGUGUUGAGCCAAGUGUGUGCUGAGCCCUAUUCAGAGCGUUUUCUCAGUGUCAGUUAAUCCUCUAAUAGGCCUUUGGGGUAGGUACGGUUACAUCCACCCCACCUUACAGGCGAGUUAGAAGAGGCACAGAGUUGAGGAGCUUAACCUGCCCAAAGUUACGCAGCUAGGACGUGGCGGAGCUGGGCUUUGAAAGUCACGCAGCUAGGACGUGGCGGAGCUGGGCUUUGAAAGUCACGCAGCUAGGACGUGGCGGAGCUGGGCUUUGAAAGUCACGCAGCUAGGACGUGGCGGAGCUGGGCUUUGAAAGUCACGCAGCUAGGACGUGGCAGAGCUGGG
rnacentral:lncRNA from 1 species